UACAGGUGCUGCAUGGCUGUCGUCAGCUCGUGUCGUGAGAUGUUCGGUUAAGUCCGCUAACGAGCGCAACCCUCGCUGUGUGUUACAAGUGUCACACGGAACUGCCGGUCAUAAACCGGAGGAAGGUGGGGAUGACGUCAAGUCAGCAUGGCCUUUAUAUCCUGGGCUACACACACGCUACAAUGGGAAGGGACAAUAGGUUGCGAAGCCGCGAGGCGGAGCCAAUCCAGCAAAACUUCCCUCAGUUCAGAUUGCAGGCUGCAACUCGCCUGCAUGAAGUUGGAGUUGCUAGUAAACGCAGGUCAGCCAUACUGCGUUGAAUACGUUCCCGGGGCUU
rnacentral:rRNA from 1 species